UUUCUUUUCAAAACUAAAUCCUGGAAACAAGUCUUUCUUCUUCUCUUACCUUGUGAUUCCACCAUUUUUCUUCCCCUCAUUUUUACUGAUUUUCAAGACAAACCUCGAAAAAAAGAGAGGAAAGUUAUUGGUUUCCAGUGCAAAUUCUGGCUCAACCCACACCCCAAAUUUCGCUGAAUUUGUGUUCUACAAAGAGGACGAGAGGAGCUUGUAGCAGUAAGCUUGGGAGGAGCUUACGGCUAGAACUUGAGCAAAAGUGGUAUUUUUGCUUUUCCAUAAUGUGUAUAUCAUGAGGUUAUCUGGGUGGUUUUGAACUUCUUGCUUGAGUCGUGCUACUGUUAUACUUUGUUAUGUAUAUUUGCGUCGCCGCAUGGUUCCUCUUUGCAUUUUGCUUCAUUUUGAUGUGUAACAAUUUGUAAAGGCCAUGGUAUUAUGCACGUUUUAAUUUUGGGCGUUUUUUGGGGUUGUUUUGAAUUCCUUGUCGUCUAUUAUCAAUGUAUUACUGACCCAUCAUAUAUGUUAUUGUCCUUCCAUAUUUCUUCUGAUACAUUAAUUACUAAGUCAUGGAUUUAAUGGUUUUCGCGUGUAUUUGUUUAGGUUCCCUCUACUGUUAACGGUAGGAGUAGAAGUAGUUGCAAAUUAUGUAAUGUUUUCCUAAAUGUAAUGUGUACUUCACACACAGUCUGCAUUAUGUACUAUUUUGGAUUUAUCUAAACUAAACUGGGUACUUGGACUAUUAAGGUUGCAGUUGCUUCAUGUCAUUCCAGUCUUCUUUAGAAUAUGGUAUUCAAUCUCAUCUCUGAACUGGGUAUAUUUCUGAAGCUAGCAUAUGUAUACAUUGUUACUAUACUUUUUCCUAGUGCCCAUUAUUAAAAAUAAUAAUAAUACUAAUUAUGAAGAUCAUUUCACUUCUCUAGUUUUAUGAAGCUGCAAUCAGAAAUUUUCAUUUCUUGUUUCUGUGUCUGAUGUUAAUUUUUGGCACUCGUUCUUAUUUGAUUUAUGGAGAUACGUAUAUUUUUUAAUUUUUAUUUUAACUUACGAGUGACGUACCGAGGGGUUUGCUCUGCUAGUCGGGUUGAAAACCAACCCGUUUAGACGGGAAAUUCCCUGGUCCGCUACAGUUGGCAUCAGAGCCCAUGUUCCGAUUUACCGGGGCUGUGGUUCCCUUUCUUAUUUGAUUAAGUUAUUUGAUUUUGUCAUUUUGUUUUGGGGAUUUUGGAAAAACCAGAAACCGUGAUAUACAUAUUAUUCUGUGUGUUAGUAAUGUACAUUACUAACCAAUUGUGAGUCUAAUACGUUAUCUAUUUUGAAGAUGUCGCGGUGUUAAAAAUUUGUAGCCUCAAGCUUCGUCCCUAGGAUUCUCAAGCUCCGUAUGUAAGGAAGAACAAAAAUUCUUAGCGGGAGAACUGCACGCCUUGAGAACGAUUCGAAAAAACUGCUCUAUCGUUAAUGAGCAUUAGACGCAAGUGAAAGUGGAGCAUCAGUAACCAUAAUGACCAUUAUAGUCAUUGUCAAUAGUCGAAUAGUAGUGGGAUUUUGUCGCUGUGGAUUUUCUAAGGAGUUACCUAAGGUUCAGCAAGGAAUGGAAGGGACAGUAUGACUAUCGAUUGACUAGCGCCACUCCCUAUGCAACUUGUACUUCAUAGAGAUUGUCAUGAUACAUGGAAUUUCUUCGCCAACCGUUUAGAGCGACCUCUUGUUCACGUACAAGUAUUAGGGAGUUUCCAUCUAGCUUUGGGCAUCGAGCUAGAUUUGAUUAUUGUUUCCCAUCCUCAGUAAAUGGUUAAGAGUGGGCUUCUCAAAAUUAGGAAGACAUGUUGUAGGCACACGUACGACUUCAAGGACAGUUGGAGGAUGCUCUUGAAGUGAAUCACAUAUCCAAGCUUCGAAGACGCGACGUUGACCCUUAUCACGCGAUUAGGUGACAAGAUUUGCAGUCGCGCAAGAUUAUGACUUAUGAUCGAAAGUCGGUACUCGUUAUCGUUAUCUGAUGGAUCCAAUCCUUCGGGUAAAAACCGUUUAGGCGACGAAUGAAGCGUGGCAGCAUCACUUUCUAGAGGAAGGCACUUGGAAGCUAGAGUUUGAUGGGAGGGACAAGUAACCGGGCUACUUGAAGAGGACGAGAGGAGCUUGUAGCAGUAAGCUUGGGAGGAGCUUACGGCUAGAACUUGAGCAAAAGUGGUAUUUUUGCUUUUCCAUAAUGUGUAUAUCAUGAGGUUAUAUGGGUGGUUUUGAACUUCUUGCUUGAGUCGUGCUACUGUUAUACUUUGUUAUGUAUAUUUGCGUCGCCGCAUGGUUCCUCUUUGCAUUUUGCUUCAUUUGAUGUGUAACAAUUUGUAAAGGCCAUGGUAUUAUGCACGGUCUAAUUUUGGGCGUUUUUUGUGGUUGUUUUGAAUUCCUUGCCGUCUGGUUUCAAUGUAUUACUGACCCAUCAUAUAUGUUAUUGUCCUUCCAUAUUUUUGCCGAUACAUUAAGUACUAAUUCAUGGAUUUAAUGGUUUUCGCGCGUAUUUGUUUAGGUUCCCUCUACUGUUAACGGUAGGAGUAGAAGUAGUUGCAAAUUAUGUAAUGUUUUCCUAAAUGUAACGUGUACUUCACACACAGUCUGCAUUAUGUACUAUUUUGAAUUUAUCUAAACUAAACUGGGUACUUGGACUA